rnacentral:rRNA from 1 species
AUCGUUUGUCGCAUGCAUCAGGGCAGCCGACCGUCUGGACCUCGGAUCAGGCCAGGCCACCCGCUGAAUUUAAGCAUAUCAAUAAGCGGAGGAAAAGAAACUAACCAGGA